rnacentral:rRNA from 1 species
GGGUGACGAAGCGACGCCGCGUGUGGGAAGAAGGCCUUCGGGUUGUAAACCACUGUCGGGAGUUAGGAAAUGCAGGUGCGUUAAUAGCGCACUUGCUUGACUAAGGCUCCAGAGGAAGCCACGGCUAACUCUGUGCCAGCAGCCGCGGUAAUACAGAGGCGGCAAGCGUUGUUCGGAAUUAUUGGGCGUAAAGAGCACGUAGGCGGCCUUGCAAGUCAGUUGUGAAAGCCUUCCGCUUAACGGAAGAACGGCAUCUGAUACUACAGGGCUUGAGUACGGGAGGGGAGAGUGGAACUUCUGGUGGAGCGGUGAAAUGCGUAGAUAUCAGAAGGAACGCCGGCGGCGAAAGCGACUCUCUGGUCCGAAACUGACGCUGAGUGUGCGAAAGCUAGGGGAGCAAACGGGAUUAGAUACCCCGGUAGUCCUAGCCGUAAACGAUGGGCACUAAGUAGAGGGGUUU